UACGGAGGGGGUUAGCGUUGUUCGGAAUUACUGGGCGUAAAGCGCGCGUAGGCGGAUUAGUCAGUUAGAGGUGAAAUCCCAGGGCUCAACCCUGGAACUGCCUUUAAUACUGCUAGUCUUGAGUUCGAGAGAGGUGAGUGGAAUUCCGAGUGUAGAGGUGAAAUUCGUAGAUAUUCGGAGGAACACCAGUGGCGAAGGCGGCUCACUGGCUCGAUACUGACGCUGAGGUGCGAAAGUGUGGGGAGCAAACAGGAUUAGAUACCCCGGUAGUCC
rnacentral:rRNA from 1 species